rnacentral:lncRNA from 1 species
CUUCCCUCCCCCUUUUUUUUCAGAGGGUUGCAAACUCACGUGGGGGUGAGGCCUGGUCUUGUGGCCACUGAACUUUGCUUCGAGGGGCUGACAGCUCUGGCCCAGGGUGGUAUGUAAU